GUCACAAAAGCCAUAUAGUAUAUGAUUCCAUUUAUUUGAACUGUCAAGAAUGGGAAAACACACAGAGACAUAAAGCAAAUUCAUGAUUGUAAUGAUUAUUUAGGGAUGGAAGGGCUAGGGGAUUCAGGUUGUGUUUCUUUUUAGGUGAUGAGAAGGUUUUAAAGUUGAUUGUGGUAAUAGUUUCAUGACUGUGAACAUGCUAAAGGGCAUCGAAUUAUAUACUUUAGUAAGUGAACUAUAUGGUACUGAGGCAGGAUAGAUAGUCAAGGAGAUGACCACGUCCUUGGGACAUGGCAACCACACUGUCAACAGCACAAUGAGCCCUGUAACCAUGUUCAUUGGGACAUAGCAACCGCACCAACAACACAACAAACCUCAGCACUCACAUUGUAAUCAAGCUCAUCCAAGCAGAACUACCUUCACUGGGGACUUUCCCCUGUAGAGAGCAUGUGCAUUUUCACUUUGCUUGUCCUCAGAAUGACCCUUUGCUCAUUAUAAUAGUAAAAAACACACCCCUGGGUAGAGAUUUAAGACGGCAAUGAGACAUGCAAUGUAUGAACAAGCAUGUACAGCAACUGCUCAUGUGCACCCAGAGGACCACCCAGAACAUGAUUACUAGGAACACACCUCUUCCCACCCACUAUGAAUAAUCACAUAAGACUCUCAUAAAGGGAGUUCCCUCAGAGCCAGUCUUUGCUGACUCACUCUUGAUCAGCCCACUCUGACUUAUCUUUCAGAGUGUACCUUUCAGAGUGUAUCUUUCAGAGUUUUAUCUUUGCACUAAAUUACUUUCAGCUGUUUCUUUUUACACUCAGCUUUCAGAGUGUUCUUUCUCUUUUGCAAUACAUUGCUUUCUGUUGUUCCUCUAUGGUUGUGUCUCUUGUUAAAAUUAUUUUAACCAAGAAGACAAGAACAGAGGUCUCACAAUCACCGUCAACAGUAUGUAAAUUAUACCUCAGUGAAGCUAUUACCAAAAAAAUUAACCCUGUGUUCCUCUUCCUCCUAAUGCAGUUGUAGCCACUCUCCUGAAUUUUGUCUCUAUUGUCCUAUUGAUUUUUAAAUUUUUUUAUAAACACAUCCCUUAAUAAUAUAUAAAUGUAAUCCUUAACAAUAUACAUUUAGUUUAUAAUUUUUAAAGUUUGUAAAAGUAGAAUCAAACAUCAAGCAUUCCAUAACAAUAUUUUUGGUUCAAUAUUAGGUUUCAUACCCAUGUUGAUUGGCCAUAGCUAUUCAUUCAUUUGCAUGGUACUCCCAUGUGGCAAAUGGGAAUGUGCCACAGUUUACUUAUCCUGACUCCUGUCAACAAUCACUGGAGGUUGUAUAUAGUCCAUUCUCACACUGCUAUGAAGAAAUACCCAAGACUGGGUAAUUUAUAAAGGAAAGAGGUUUAAUUGACCCACACUUCCACAUUGCUGGGGGGCCUCAGGAAACUUACAGUCAUGACAGAAGGCAAAGGAGAAGCAGGCACCUUCUUCACAGGGCAGCAGGAUGGAGUGAGUGCAAGCAGGGGAAAUGCCAGAUUCUUAUAAAACCACCAGAUUGGCCGGGUGCGGUGGCUCACGCCUGUAAUCCCAGCACUUUGGGAGGCCGAGGCAGGCGGAUCACGAGGUCAAGAGAUCAAGACCAUCCUGACCCACAUAGUGAAACCCCAUCUCUACUAAAAAUACAAAAAUUAGCUGGGUUUGGUGGUGCAAGUCUGUAGUCCCAGCUACUCAGGAGGCUGAGUCAUCAGAAUCGCUUGAACCCGGGAGGCGGAGGUUGCAGUGAGCCAAGAUCGCACCACUGCACUCUAGCCUGGUGACAGGGCAAGACUCCAUCUCAAAAAUAAAUAAAUAAAUAAAUAAAAAUAAGAUCUCACAAGAUUCACGUACCAUCAUUAGAACAGCAUGGGGGAACCACCCCCACGAUCCCAUUACCUCCACCUGGUCCUGCCUUUGACACGUGGGAAUUACAAUUCAAGAUGAGAUUUUGGGUGGGGACCACCGCCAAACCAUAUUAGGGGUGUUCCCAGUGUGUCACCAUUACUGAACAGGUUACUGUUAAUACUCUCCAUAGUAUGUUUUGAUAAACAGAUGUUCUUAUCUAAUGUAAUGAAAUUUAUCUCUUUGUACCUUACUUUUUGUCUUUAUUUUUUGUGCUUAUGAACUACAGUAAGGUCAUAAAGAUGUUCUCCUGUAUUUGCUUCUAAAAAUUGACAUCUGUCCUUCACAUGUAAGUCUGAAAUUCUCCCCAAACUGACUUUUUCUGUGCAGUGCAAAGUCCAUGUGGUUAUAUGUGAAUACCAUUUACUAGUUAGGGAUCAACAAACUAUAGCCUACAGGCAAAUGCAGGCCUUCAUCUGUUUUUGUUUUGUUUGUAAUAGACACUGGGUGUCACUAUGUUGCCCAGUUCAAAUAAUCCUCCUGCCUCUGCCUCCCAAAGUGCUGGGAUUAUAGGUGUGAACCACCAUGCCUGGUCUCCUUUGCCCGUUUUUGUACAGCCCAGUAGCUAAUAAUGGUUUCUGCAUUUUAAAUGGCUGAGAAAAACAAAAAGAAAGCUAAUAACUCAUGACCCAUGAAAAUUAUAUGAAAUUUAAAUCUCAAUGCACAUAAAGUUUUAUUAGAACAUAUCCAUGAUCAUUUGUUCACGUACAGUAUUGUCUAUAGCUGCUCUUACAAUACCACAGCAGAGGUGACUAACUACAACAGACACUGUGAACACCACGUAAGGCUGUCUAGCCCUUACCAAAAAAGUUUGCCAAUCCCUCAAUAGUUCAUCCUUUCCCCCCAUGAUCUGCAGUACUGUCUCUGUUGUAAAUUAGAGUUUCAUUUAUUUGUGGGUCUGUUUUGGAAAUUUGGCUCAAUCCAUUGGCCAAUUUAACUAUCUCUACACCAAAAAUACACUAUCUUGAUCACAAUAAUAAUUUAUAAUAAGCCUUAAUAAUAACACAAGUCUCCCUGCCUGAUGUUCCUUCUUUGUUAAUGAAAUAGCUAACCCUGCCUCUUUACUUUUCCAAAUACAUUUCAGAAUCUGGCUUCCAAUUCCAGGAAAGACCUUGUUGGGAUUUGGUUUGGAAUCACAUUGAAUCCAUAGGUGAGUUUUGAAAGAAACUGACAUACUUAUGCCAUUGAGGCUUCCUAUCCAUUAAUGAUAUAUCUCUCUCCAUUUAUGAGGUCUUCUUUAAUGUCCUUCAAUAUUUUCUCCAUAGAGGUCUCACUCAUUUGUUACCAUAAUCCUUGGUAAAACUCACCUACACGACCAUCCAGGCACACCAUUUCUUUGUAGAAAAAGUGUUAACUACUGAUUUAUCCUUUAAUGAGCAAAGGACUGCUUAGAUUUUUAAAUAUUUUCUUGGUUCAAUUUUGAUGACAUUUUUCUUGGAAUAUAUCAAUUCCAUCAAAAUUUUCCAAUUUUUUAUAAUUAUUUAUCAAUAUUUGUUUUUGCUGGUUUAAUCUCUGCAGCAUCUAUAGUUGUGGUCUCUUUUUUACUCCUAAAUCAUUUGCUGUGCCUUCUCUCUUUUAUAUGCUUGUUUUUCUUCAUUUAUUUUUGCUCAUAUCUUUGUAUUGUCUUCCCCUUUUUCUGUCUUCUUAAAUUGGAUAAUUAACUCCUUAACUUGCACCUCUCCUUCCUUUCUUUCUUUUUCUCUUCUUCUUUUGCUUUCUUUCUCUUUUUCUUUUCUUUUCUCCAGGCUAGUAUUGAAUUCCUAGCCUCAAGCGAUCCUCCCACCUCAGCCUUGCAAAGUGCUGGGAUUACAGGCAUAAGCCACCAUGCCAAGUCACCUUUUCCUUUCUUAAUGUAAGGAUUUAUGCUACAAAAUUUUUUCUAAGCACCCCUUUAGCUGCAUGGUCCAAAUAUUGGUAUCUAGUAUUUUUGUUAUCAUUCAGCUCUAAAUAUUAUCUAACUCCCAUUAGUUUUCUUUUUUUGACUCAUAAUGUAUCUAGCAGUAUAUUCUAAAAUUCCUGAAAGUAUAGGGUUUUUCUGGUUAUCUCUCGCUAUUGAUUCCUGAAUUAAUUGCUUUACGGUUAAAGAAGAUUAUUUCUACGUUACUAAUCUAAAAUUUGUUGGCUUGCUUUAAGACUCUCAUAAAUAUUCCAUGUGUGCAGUUGAAAAGAAUCUGUAUUUCACAAUUAUAUUAUAUAUGGUCAUUAAGUAAGCUUGUUGGUAAAUUUUCUAUGUCUUUAUAGACUUCUAUGUUUCCUUCAUUCAUCAGUUCCUUAGAAAGGUGUAUUUAGAUCUCCCACUAUGAUGAUGUUUGUCCUCUCCAAACUUCAUGUUGAAACUUAAUCCCAAAUGUGGCAGUAUUGAAAGAUGGGUCUUUUGAAGUCAAAUCAUCUCUCAUUAAUUACCCACUUUCAGGUAUUCUGUUAUAAACAGCAGAUGAUGAAUUCCUCUUUGCAAUCAGUCAAAAAUUUCAUUAUUUUGAGACUUAUUAAAUGCAAGCAAGUUAUAUAUUUCUAGUGAAUUAAAACUUUUAUCAGAAUUUUUUUGUCCUCUGUCUAGUAAUAACUUGCUUUAAAGCCUAUAUUUUCUUUUUCUUUUUUUUUUUUUUUUUUUUUUUUGAGACAGAGUCUCACUCUGUUGCCCAGGCUGGAGUGCAGUGGCGCGAUCUCGGCUCAUUUCCAUUUCAGUCUUUGUGUGUGUGUGUGUGUGUGUGUGUGUGUGUGUGUGUGUGUGUGUGUGUGUGUGUGUGUGUGUGUGUGUGUGUAUUUUUUUAGAGACAGUCUCGCUUUGUUGCCCAAGCUGUUCUCUAACUCCUAGACUCAAGGGGUCUUCCUGCCUCAGCCUCCCAACUAGCUGGGAUUACAGGCAGACACCACUGUACCGAUUUUAUUUAUAUUUUAUCUGUUUUUAUAUUUUGAAUGUAUCAGCUGUAAACUGUAUUCCCUGGAUUUGUUUUUUAAUCCAGUGUAAUGUUUGCCUUUUACUUUGCAAAUUUAGUCCACUUAGGAUUACUUAUAUAUUUGG
rnacentral:lncRNA from 10 species